rnacentral:rRNA from 1 species
GAUGAACGCUGGCGGCGUGCCUAAUACAUGCAAGUCGAGCGAACAGAUGAGGAGCUUGCUCCUCUGACGUUAGCGGCGGACGGGUGAGUAACACGUGGAUAAUCUACCUAUAAGACUGGGAUAACUUCGGGAAACCGGAGCUAAUACCGGAUAAUAUAUUGAACCGCAUGGUUCAAUAGUGAAAGACGGUUUUGCUGUCACUUAUAGAUGGAUCCGCGCCGCAUUAGCUAGUUGGUAAGGUAACGGCUUACCAGGGCAACGAUGCGUAGCCGACCUGAGAGGGUGAUCGGCCACACUGGAACUGAGACACGGUCCAGACUCCUACGGGAGGCAGCAGUAGGGAAUCUUCCGCAAUGGGCGAAAGCCUGACGGAGCAACGCCGCGUGAGUGAUGAAGGUCUUCGGAUCGUAAAACUCUGUUAUUAGGGAAGAACAAAUGUGUAAGUAACUAUGCACGUCUUGACGGUACCUAAUCAGAAAGCCACGGCUAACUACGUG